AUUGAACGCUGGCGGCAGGCCUAACACAUGCAAGUCGAGCGGAUGAAGGGAGCUUGCUCCUGGAUUCAGCGGCGGACGGGUGAGUAAUGCCUAGGAAUCUGCCUGGUAGUGGGGGAUAACGUCCGGAAACGGGCGCUAAUACCGCAUACGCCCUGAGGGAGAAAGUGGGGGAUCUUCGGACCUCACGCUAUCAGAUGAGCCUAGGUCGGAUUAGCUAGUUGGUGGGGUAAAGGCCUACCAAGGCGACGAUCCGUAACUGGUCUGAGAGGAUGAUCAGUCACACUGGAACUGAGACACGGUCCAGACUCCUACGGGAGGCAGCAGUGGGGAAUAUUGGACAAUGGGCGAAAGCCUGGUCCAGCCAUGCCGCGUGUGUGAAGAAGGUCUUCGGAUUGUAAAGCACUUUAAGUUGGGAGGAGGGGCAGUAAGUUAAUACCUUGCUGUUUCGACGUUACCAACAGAAUAAGCACCGGCUAACUUCGUG
rnacentral:rRNA from 1 species